rnacentral:rRNA from 1 species
CUACGGGGCGCACCAGUGAGGAAUAUUGCACAAUGGGGGGAACCCUGAUGCAGCAACGCCGCGUGGAGGAUGACGCAUUUCGGUGUGUAAACUCCUUUUAUAUGUCAAGAAAAUGACGGUAGCAUAUGAAUAAGCACCGGCUAACUCCGUGCCAGCAGCCGCGGUAAUAAGGAGGGUGCAAGCGUUACUCGGAAUCACUGGGCGUAAAGGACGCGUAGGCGGGUUGGAAAGUCAGGUGUGAAAUCCUACAGCUUAACUGUAGAACUGCACUUGAAACUUCUAAUCUAGAGUAUGGGAGGGGGAGAUGGAAUUAGUGGUGUAGGGGUAAAAUCCGUAGAUAUCACUAGGAAUACCUAAAGCGAAGGCGAUCUCCUGGAACAUUACUGACGCUAAGGCGUGAAAGCGUGGGGAGCAAACAGGAUUAGAUACCCCAGUAGUC